AUUUGUUAGCGUCGAGCUCGUUGUGGUCGCAUGUGUGAUUAAAAAAACUAUAAUUGGAAAUGAAACAAUUUGCCUCCAAAUGACGCCUAAAAGAGGGAAAAAAGGAAAAAAAAAGACCAUGGCAGUAGACUCAUGAUUGUCCCAGUCCACAAGGUGGCGUCCUUGUGUUCCAUUUGCAUCGUGAGUCAGCAGUAUUUCACCAGUUCAUCCUGAGGAGACUUGAGCAUGUGAAAGCUGUGGCUGUCAUCCUCCCUGUGACGCGCUCGUCGCUCGCCCUCGUCUACCUGCCCUUUUCCCCACUCGGUCUUAAGGGACCCAGUGACGCCAACUCUACGGACGGAUGGUAGGACCCGCCAGGAGACAGAAGAGCUGGGGUGCUAGGGUGUAGCUGCUGAUCCUAUACACCACAGCAGAGAGAGCAGGGAGGCAGAGGAGCCACGUCAGGUGUCACCCCUCCGACACCCGACUCGAGGCUGCAGAACCACGACAGCCGGGCUGCCGCCACCACCGCCCCGUCAAGGCCAGUUUUCUGCCUCGCCAGACCGACCAGCCCAUGCAUCUGCCCAGCCGGGCCUUGUCUGCCCUGCCCUGCCCAACAGCUGGCAUCCUGCAGGAGUCAUCAGGGCCGCAUUAAAAAGGCAAAGAUGGAUGUCGACAGUCAUCUUUUAAAGAUUUCCCUUUAUAGACUGACCAAGCUGUCAUUCGAGGAGUGGAAACCAGGGGAAAGCGGGAAGAGUAGACUGCAGCCCCCCAAAGGAGAAGCAAUGAGUUGUAACCGUCCCUCUUCUCCCUAAUGGGAAGAGUAUCUCUCCACCAUUUGAGCACCAUCUGCUGGCUCGGUGGGGCGGGACAGCUGGUGUUGUGAAUCAGGCCGCCACAUUCCAGGGAACGGCUACUUCCCAACACCAGGGUCUCUCCGAUACCACUCCCACGCCUCACUUCAACUGUGCUCCAACACAUGACGGAUGAUUGAUGGACAGUUUCUGGAUUUUGAUAAGAGGAUGCUCAUAAAUGUUAUCUCAUCCAUUGUGAUUAAAUUAUCCAUCCAUUCAUUUUCUGUGGUCCUUGUCCUCAUUAGAGUCAUGGAUGAGCUGGAGCCUAUCCCACCCUGGACUAGUCACCUGUCAAUCAGAGGGCAGAUAUAGGCAAGCAACCAUUCACACCUGUGAACAAUCUAGUCUUCCAACAUGCAUAGUUUUGGAAUGUUGGAGGAUACAGGAAGGAGUACCUGUGAAAAAAACUCCCCACAAAAAAUAUAUAUAUACUUCAUAUGGUUGUAUGCAUUUAUACAAUCUGUAUGGACCAUGCUCCCCUGAUUACCCUUCCCAAAGAAACAUUAGAUUUUGUAAUCUACACAUGGCAUCCAACAGGGUUCUGUUUUUGCACUCUAGCGAUUCGGCCAAUGCAGCUAUAAGUUUCCCCCUAAUUGGAUAGAGAAGACUUCAUUGAGAAUGUAAAAGUGAAUAUGCAACAAAAUUAGAGAUGAUUUGACUGAUCAAUGUGCGACUCACAUAAAACACUAAAUAAUUAAUGGAGCUAAAACAAAAGGUACCUGACAGUCCUGAGGUUCUGGGUUUGAAUCUUGGCUCUGGACUUUCUCUGUGAAAUUUGCAUUUUGUCCCCAUGCUUUCAUGGGUUUUCUCUGGUUGUUUGUCUAAAUGUCCUUUAUGGCGACCAGUCUAGUGUGAACCCACCUCUAACCCAAAGUUAGCUGGGAUAGACUCCACCUCACCUGCAACACUAAUGAGAACAGGCGCUACAGAAAAUGGAUAGAUAACAUAUCAGGCAUCAGCGGAUAUAAACAGAAAUUAUCUAAAAAUUAUUAUUAUCAUAGCUUAUUAUUAUUUCCCUUAGUAAAAUGUUAAACUAAACUCAUGCAUGGAACAACUUGAAACUUCAAAUGUUUAUUACAGAUUACCCACAUCAUCACACAUUUGAAAACAGAGCUGUACUUUCUACUUCUUACUUGUUCCUUUUUUCAACCUUUUCCAACCUCCACGUAUGAUAUGACUUAAAAGAAGAUAUGAAUAGUGUCAAAACAAGAUUGAGAUUUUGAUUGAUUUGAGAUUUUGGGGUUUUAUGAAGUGUGUGUGGGGGAAACAGGUACAGCAGUGAAAUGGAGGAAUGUAAAGCAGAGAGCAUUAAUGAUGAUGGCUCCCCCUUGGCCUUAUUUACAAUUGUUCGAUGUUGUCUACUACAACAAUGAUUCUUGUCGAAUGUGUUGCCUAAACACCACCAGCUUUUGGUGUUAAAAAAAAUCUCUGUCCAACCUAAAAAAACAAGGUGUAUUUUUUUCAGUUAUUAUAUAUGUAAGUUAUUAUAUUUAAGCACCUUUGUCAGUCCACAAGGUUAGCAAAGCUAUGGGAACAGUUUUGAUUGAAUUCUAGCCAACACUUGCCCUCAAGCAAUAUAGGAUAUAUGAUUGUUUUUUCUCAGUAGGAGGAACUAUGGAAAUUAAUAAAAGAGGGAAACUGU